CUUGUACUCACUGCAUUCUAAUAAGCUUUUCUGGGAAAGAAGAGGUGUGAAUGGUGGUAAUACAUAGCUUGUCAACUCGUGACAGUCAACCCUACUGAAUUCUUUGCAAUUGUAGUAUCACUAAUAUUGUAACGUUUCAUUUUGCUCACAAAAUCUUUUUAGAAUUCUUCAAAAAUCUAAGUAUAUCCAUGGGAAUUCUUAACACAAGUAAACUUCACCCUGCAUUUGUGGUACUGCAGGAAGAAAGGGUGUGGGAAUUUCUGCUAGUACCUAUCGCCCAGUCUGCUUAUAGAGGGAAAAAGAAAUCACUAUAAUAUUUGGAUUUCAUCUGAAAGUUACAGCUGACAUGUGGGGAGUGUUAAUCCUUUAGGCAAUUUAGCCAUAUCUGCUGUGAUAAAGAAAAGUGCUGGGUAUGCCUAUUUUACAAAUUGCUUAAAUAUCUACUGAGAAAAAGAAGCCUUAGUAGUUUCACUUAUGUAUCAAAACACUGAACUUUUUUCUUUCCAAAUUUAUUCAGCUGCCCUAGAAUCUGGUUUGGGACUUCCCUAUUUAUUCCCAACACCUCCUAAUGGGGGCAGAGCUAAUCACUUACACGGUUCUGUGCUGCU
rnacentral:lncRNA from 1 species